rnacentral:rRNA from 1 species
CCUACGGGGGGCAGCAGUGAGGAAUAUUGGUCAAUGGGCUUACGCCUGAACCAGCCAAGUCGCGUGAGGGAAGACUGCCCUAUGGGUUGUAAACCUCUUUUGUCAGGGAGCAACGCCGGCUACGUGUAGCCGGACUGAGAGUACCUGAAGAAAAAGCAUCGGCUAACUCCGUGCCACCAGCCGCGGUAAUACGGAGGAUGCGAGGGUUAUCCGGAUUGAUUGGGUUUAAAGGGUGCGUAGGCGGAAUGCCAAGUCAGCGGUAAAGUCGCGGGGCUCAACCUCGCUCCGCCGUUGAAACUGGCGUUCUUGAGUGGGCGAGAAGUAUGCGGAAUGCGUGGUGUAGCGGUGAAAUGCAUAGAUAUCACGCAGAACUCCGAUUGCGAAGGCAGCAUACCGGCGCCCAACUGACGCUGAAGCACGAAAGCGUGGGUAUCGAACAGGAUUAGAUACCCUAGUAGUC